rnacentral:rRNA from 1 species
UACGGAGGGGGCUAGCGUUGUUCGGAAUUACUGGGCGUAAAGCGCACGUAGGCGGCUUUGCAAGUCGGAGGUGAAAGCCCGGGGCUCAACCCCGGAAUAGCCUUUGAGACUGCAUCGCUAGAAUUGUGGAGAGGUAAGUGGAAUUCCGAGUGUAGAGGUGAAAUUCGUAGAUAUUCGGAAGAACACCAGUGGCGAAGGCGACUUACUGGACACAUAUUGACGCUGAGGUGCGAAAGCGUGGGGAGCAAACAGG